AGGACAGAGAGAGAUGGCGUCCGCUUGGAGAGGACGAGAUGAGGCGGUGGAUGACUUCGACGAGUAUGAUCCGACGCCUUAUGGCGGGGGGUACGAUCUCAGUCUCACCUUUGGCCGCCCCCUCCCGCCCUCCGAGGAGACCUGCUACCCCAUCUCCUCCGCGGGCUCUAACGUAGACUACGCAAGGCCUCAGUACUCCUCCGGCUCCGUCCCCUCCGCCUACGGGGCCUCCGACUACGGCGAGCCCUAUGGCCGCCCGAAGCCCAAGCCGGAGCCGGCCUACGGCUUCCGGCCCCAGCAAGAGGUCGAGGGAGGUGGAGGCGUCGGUGAUUUUGGUGGCUACGGUGGCGGUCGCCGCCCUCAGCCCAGGCCUGGGUUUCAGGAUCACGGAUCUGAGCCAGGGUCUGGGUAUGGUGGCAGCGAGGAGUACGGAUCUGGGUAUGGUCGUGGGUUACCCAAGCGCGAUGAGGAUAGUUCCUACGGAUACGGGUAUGGGCAAGGGCAGCCCAAGCCCUCAAGAGAGGAGGCUGGGCAAGGAUAUGGUUACGGGAGCAAGUACCAGGGCGGUGGUGAACAUGGAUCUGGUGGCGGUGGCUAUGGCGGUGGCAAUUACGGAUCUGGUGGUGGUGGUGGCAACUACGGAUCUGGCGGUGGUGGUGGCUAUGGCGGUGGCAGUUACGGAUCUGGUGGUGGUGGCUAUGGUAGUGGCGAUUACGGAUCUGGUGGUGGUCACAAGUACCAGGCCGAUGAGUCCGGAUAUGGGUCGAAUCCGAAGCCAACUUAUCAGAGGCCUGUCUCUGGUGGAGAUGAGGAGGGGACUGGGAGGUAUAACAGGCCCGUCUAUGGACGAGAU
rnacentral:lncRNA from 1 species